UUCGUAGGCGGGCUAUUAAGUCAGAGGUGAAAGCAAACGGCUCAACCGUUGAAAUUGCCUCUGAUACUGAUAGUCUUGAGUCCGUUAGGGAUGGUGGAAUUCCUGGUGUAGCGGUGAAAUGCGUAAAUAUCAGGAGGAACACCGGUGGCGAAGGCGGCCAUCUGGACGGUACUGACGCUGAGGAACGAAAGCAUGGGUAUCAACG
rnacentral:rRNA from 1 species